AUGGGAUGGACUUUCAGGGAAGAUUUCUUCCAACCCAAACCAUGCUGGGGCCUUUUUCUCCCACCACCUCUGGUCCAUCCCAAAGCUCCCGUGGGGCACUGGUCUCAUGGAGCUGCAGGAUGUGCCCAUGGGUGGGACACUCUCAGCCUCUCGUUCUCUGGGAGGGAUCAGGACCCUCAGGGCAGGUCAGGGCUCACCCCUGAGGACCAACACCUUCAGUGGGUGACCCAGCUGUGAUGAAUCUCCUGAACCCAGGCAGCCUUUUCCAGAAACACAGGGGUGGCUCCUCCCCUGUGAGAUCAGUGGCCUCACACCAGCUGAUGAAGAGGCUUCUUACCAACCCCAUGGACUCAGCAGCUGCUCUUUUACUCCCUCACCUUCCACUACCUGGAUUUUUGAAAUAUGAGAGGUUUUUACAUAAAUUCUCCUUUUUCUUUAUUCCUGCCGUGUCUCACCUUCCACCACUUGGAUUUUUAAAAUAUGAGGGGUUUUAAUAUAAAUUCUCCUUUCUCUUUAUCCCUGCCAUAUCUGAGGGCCAUGGUUUCAUAGUGGACUUGCCAGUGCUGGUCCACAUGAGGAAAUCCUGUCUUGCUCAGCUCAGAUCUGACCUGCCCAGAGGUCUGGCACCUCUUCAUGCACACAGGACCUGAAGAACCAGCAGGGUUUAGGGCUGAUUGGGAAGGCAGUUGGGGCAUUUGCCAUCACUCGCCUCUCUGAGUUCUGGCUCCACACCCAGUGUUGGAUUGCCAGGCUCUCAGCAGCUCCAUGGAAUUGGCUGUGUCACUUUAUUCUCACAUCAGAAGCACGUUUGGCACCAAGGCCAAGGAGUGACAAUCCCUCAGGGGAUCAGAGGAGCUCAUUCUCCCCUCCCCUGGCAGAAGAUGCUGCCCCUAGAGCAGCUCAGGCAGGGGCACCAUGCAGAGUUUAACAGAGCCAGACCCACAGCAGUGCCCAGCUGGCAGUGCCCAGCAUUCCUGGUUAUUCCCAGAGGAUCCAGGGGUGCAUGCUCAGCACUCAGCACCCUGCAGCACGUCUGGAUUUUGCCUUAUCACCCGGAAUUCUCCCAGGAAAGCUGUCCUGGGUCUGUGUGUGUGGACAGGACCAUGUGGAGGGUGCUGACUGCUCAGGGAAUGGUGAGUGGCUCUGGGAAGGAAAAGGAGGAGGUUUGCCAAGUGCAGGGUUUGUUCACCUUCCUGUGGAACCCCAGCUGUGCCAGAGCAGGUGGCAGUGGGUGGGGGAGCUCAUUUCUCUGUGGCAGGGCUGUGUGCGUCACCCCAGCUCCCUGGGGGUGCAGAUGGAGAUGGGCAGGGACGUGCCAUGUCACAGCUGCGUGUCCCUUCCUUGCAGACAUCAACAUGGCCGGGGAGCCCAAACCCAACAGACCCAAAGGGCUGAAGAGAGCAGCCUCUGCCUUGUACAGUGGCUACGACUUCGACUAUGACUAUUACAGAGACGACUUCUACGACAGGUGAGACCCAGCCCGAGAGGCUCUGUGGGGUGGGGGCAGGAGGGAUUUGGGGUGUCAGGAAAAUUAAACCACAAACACCAGAGGUUUAUGUCCAAAAAGGAGACAGAGGAAUCCUUUUAUUUUAUUCCAAUAAAGGGAGAGGCCAUAGGGCA
rnacentral:lncRNA from 1 species